rnacentral:lncRNA from 1 species
CCGGAGAACUAAAUCACAAAGUUUGGAGGAGAGUGAAUUUCAGUGGCUGGCUUGUGUUACCUUUUGCGAAGUGUAAAUAUGAUUCUACGAUUUCUGAAGACACCCAGCAAUGAGACAGCCCAGAGCCUAGGACAGAGUUUUGAACAUUCAGGGACUCACAUUCUGGUGGGCUGAAACAAAAAAGGUAACAGAUUGUGUUUGAAAACAAUUUAAGAGGGUGAUGCCCAGUUCAAACAGCCCAUGCUCCAUGUCUUAGAAUCCGAGCCUGCUUUUCCACAUUGCACAGAGCUAAACCGGCUGCAGGACCCUCUGUAAUUUUACCCUUCACUGGAAGUUGUAAUUAAGAUUAAAUGCUCAUUUAACCUCUGGAGGAUACACACUGUUCUCACAGUAUAUUACAGGCAACUUUAAUGAGUUCACAUCCCUGCCUGAAAUAUAAUUACGUUAAAACACUUAAAAAUGGAUUUAUUAGCAUGAAGCCCACUCAUGAGUCUUAACCAUCCUCCCUCUUCCUCUUUCUCAGAGCUUAAUUUAACAAGGCACUUUGAACAAUUUUUCAAACAGUGCAGAAUUUUGCAGACCCCCCCAUCUUUCCCCUUCCAAAUGUCACAGCCCGGGUUGUUUUUCGUUUUGAUUCCCCCCCCCCCCAGAUGGAUUUUUGCAUCUUUGCAAAAGGUAACUGCGCAAAAAUAAUAAAAGUCACCUUUUUGCAACUGCAGGACUUUGCCUUGAGCUCUCGGGAUCUUUCAGGCCUCGCUCUGUUUUCAUUGGCAACUGAAAAGCAAGGAUGGAGGACACAGAAUAUUUCACUGACAACCUUAAUUGCCACCAUUCAUCACCGCCGUUGCCCCGUCCUUUGGUUCGGAGGGUGGGAAUGGUUAAUUUGGGCACAUGCCAGGGGUGGACUGUGCCAGAGGCAGAACAGGCAAAGCAACAAACUUGCCUCUUAAAGGUAAAGGGACCCCUGACCAUGAGGUCCAGUCGUGGCCGACUCUGGGGUUGCGGCGCUCAUCUCGCUUUACUGGCCGAGGGAGCCAGCAUACAGCUUCCAGGUCAUGUGGCCAGCAUGACUAAGCCGCUUCUGGCGAACCAGAGCAGCGCACGGAAACACUGUUUACCUUCCCACCGGAGUGGUGCCUAUUGAUCUACUUGCACUUGACGUGCUUUCGAACUGCUAGGUUGGCAGGAGCAGGGACCGAGCAACGGGAGCUCACCCUGUCGUGGGGAUUCGAAAUGGCGACCUUCUGAUCAGCAAGUCCUAGGCUCUGUGGUUUAACCCACAGCGCCACCCGCGUCCCAUACUUGCCUCUUACCUUUGCACAAAAGGGAUGCAUUCCAUGAUAAGAAGCCAGAGGUUUCUCAUAUAUAUAUAUAAAAUUUUUAUUUAUAAUAAAUAAUAAUAAUAAUUUUAUUUAUAAUUUUCAUUUUACAACAAACAAAUAGCAAAAAACAACAACAAAACCCCCUCUUAAAAAUCAAGUUAUUACGUAUAGUGGAAAUUUGGUUCUUGAACGUCUUGGUACUCAAACAUUCCAGCUCCCAAACGCCAUAAAUCCAGAAGUAAGUAUUCAAGUUUUUGGACAUUUUUUGGAAGCCGAACGCCCAAUUGGUUGUGGGCUAUUGUUUCCGGAGCGGCUGUGCCAAUCGGAAGCCACACCUUGGUUUUGGAACAUUUCGGAAGUUGAACUGACUUCCAGAAUGGAUUACGUUCGAGAACGAAGGUACCACUAUAUCAUAUUUCGACUCCUCACCCCUUCUUUCUGCAGUUCCUUAUACAUAUAUAUAAUAUUUUUACUGCAUUUUCAAAUUGAACCUAUUUUUUAUUUAACACAUAUAAUCAGCUGUUGUUUAAUAUCACUGCAUGUCUUUACAUCAAUCCUGCCAAUGUCUUAAUCUGUUUGCAAGACUUUUGUAAAUACAGUGCUACCUCAGGAUGCGAACGGGAUCCGUUCCGGAGCCCCGUUCGCAUCCCGAAUGGAAUGCAAGAUGCGACAGCUCGUCUGCGCAUGCGUGGGCCGUGUUUCACCACUCCCGCGCAUGCGCGUGACAUCAUUUUGACCGUCUGCGCAUGCACAAGUGGCAAAACCCAGAAGUAAUGCACUCCGUUACUUCUGGGUUGCCGCAGAGCGCAACCCGAAAGUGCUCAACCUGAAGCGUAUUUAUCCUGAGGUAUGACUGUAGUCAAUAAACGAUUUCCUGUUCUUCUGGUAAGCUCUGUCAUUUCUGCAUAGUCCAAUAGUACCUGUUGCAAUUCCUCUUUCGUUGAGACCUUUUCUUCCUUCCAUCUUUGGGCAAAUCACAUUCGAGCGCUCAAAAGCCAGAGGUUUCAAUACACACCUGUGCGUGCCCCAUCUCUCCAGCCAGGCCGCCAAGAUGCGUAAGCACAAUUCAAUAGCUUGUUCCAGCCACAAAAACACACUCAAAGCAGUGUGUGUGUUUUUGUGGACCAGAGCCAAUGCAGUGCGCAGCCUGGAGUGCCCACUUGCCAGCACAAGGAGACGCUACAGGUGUGGGAGCCAACCUAUGGAGAAUCUCUACAGCUUAGGGGUGUUUGAGCGCACUGGGGAUUGUUUGAAGCAUCCUCUCGGGGAGAUAUUUUAUUCCAAUCAUACGGAAAGGUGAAGCGACAUCAUUUGCACCUCCUGAAACAAGUAUGUGAGCCGAAACAGAGCCAUCCUUUGAAAUGCACGCACGCCUGAAUUUUGCAGCACAGCUCUCCAGCCCGGGUCAUGUGUGCAAAAAAUGCAGCAGAUAGAGUAAAGUGUGCAUAAAAAUGUAUAUUGGUGUAUGGGGAAAUUGCUUUGCAAAAAUGUGUGGGUCAAGCAUAGUAUGUAUGUAUAUAUAUAGCAAAUAAAUGCUGAUGAAUUUUCAUGAGGGCUUUGUUAUUUUUAAUCAUUGCAAACCGAUGUGGAAAUGUGGGGAAAUGAGAGGAACUGAAAGCAACAGAUUACACAUGUUGAUCGUGCCCACUAUUAUUGCGGAUCACAAAAUUGGGAAAGGAGUACAACAAGGCUGUAUAUUGACUCCCUGCUUGUUUAACUUAUAUACAGAAUUCAUCAUACGAAAGGCUGGGCUGGAUGAAUCCCAAGCCGGAUUUAAGAUUGCCGGAAGAAAUAUCAACAACCUCAGAUAUGCAGAUGACACAACCUUGAUGGCAGAAAGUGAGGAGGAAUUAAAGAACCUUUUAAUGAGGGUGGAAGAGGAGAGCACAAAAUAUGGUCUGAAGCUCAACAUCAAAAAACCUAAGAUUAUGCCACUGGUCCCAUCACCUCCUGGCAAAUAGAAGGGGAAGAAAUGGAGGCAGUGAGAGAUUUUACUUUCUUGGGCUCCAUGAUCACUGCAGAUGGUGACAGCAGCCACGAAAUUAAAAGACACCUGCUUCUUGGGAGAAAGGCGAUGGCAAACCUGGACAGCAUCUUAAAAAGUAGAGACAUUGCCUUGCCAACAAAGGUCCGUAUAGUUAAAGCUAUGGUUUUCCCAGUAGUGAUGUAUGGAAAUGAGAGCUGGACCAUAAAGAAGGAUCAUUGCUGAAGAAUUGAUGCUUUUGAAUUAUGGUGCUGGAGGAGACUCUUGAGAGUCCCAUGGAUUGCAAGAAGAUCAAACGAAUCCAUUCUUAAGAAAAUCAGCCCUGAGUGCUCACUUGAAGGACAGAUCCUGAAGCCGAGGCUCCAAUACUUUGGCCACCUCAUGAGAAGAGAAGACUCCCUGGAAAAGACCCUGAUGUUGGGAAAGAUGGAGGGCACAAGAGAAGGGGACGACAGAGGACGAGAUGGUUGGACAGUGUUCUCAAAGCUACCAGUAUGAGUUUGACCAAACUGUGGGAGGCUGUGGAAGACAGGAGUGCCUGGCGUGCUCUGGUCCAUGGGGUCACGAAGAGUCGGACACGACUAAACGACUAAACAGCAACAAAGCAUUUACCAGCUUCUGACCAGUCGAGGGUCGACUGGGGCUGAGGAACCUGCAGCCCCCCAGAGGCUGGACUACAACUCCCCUCAUCCCUGACCACUGCCCAGGCUUGUGCCCUGGGGAGGUCAGUUUGGUUCUGCGAACACAGUGGUUUGACUUUACUCCCAGAGGUGCACUCCAUUUUCUCUCAAGACUGACAGAUGCCAACCACGACUUGGCUGCUGUGGGUCCUGGAAACCGAAGUUUGUUAAGGGUGCUGAGAGCUAUUAGGAGAUCCCUGUUUCCCCUCCCAGAGCUACAAUGCUCAGAGUGGUUUAGCAACCAACUCCUCUUCCUGAGAAACUGAGGGAAUGUUAACUCUAUUUAUAAAACUGUUCCCUUCCCUUGAAGUAGCAUUUCAUUCCCCGCACCCCUCUCUUUUUAGAAAAAGCGAACUUCUGGCAUACGAGACUUUUGUCCAGCAGAUGGCAAGAGGUGAACAGGCCUCCUUUGCCUGCCACUUCUUACAAAACCAUGUGUCUGUGUGUGUUUCUUUGGAAGCUGAGUAAUACCCAAGUAUCUAAUUAUGGGAACUUUUGCAAAGCACUGCAGAUAAAAGCAGCGCUUCCUCGGAAGACAAGCCCCAGAAAUAAGCAAAUCGAUUCAGAUGGGCUGCUUCUCUGUUUCCCAAGCUGGGGGGGGGGGCAGUGAGAGGGCAAAGCCACAGGAGGAAAUCUCUGCCGCAUCGCUCAUCGCGCUCGCUUUGCAUAUGUCUGCCGUGAUGACUGCACAGGCCGUCGCUCGGCUGGGCCAAAAAUGUGUGGCAAAGGGGAUUUGCAACUGCCGGCGCUCCCCACAUUUGUAUGUGGUGCAACAGCUGCAGCUGUGUGCUUGUGCAUGUGUGCACAACCUGCUUGCCUGCUUCAUUGGGGCACAACACACACAAGAGUAGAAUAACAGAAUCAUAGAAUCAUAGACUUGGAAGGGACCCCAGGGGUCAUCUAGCUGAACCCCCUGCAAUCCAGGAAUUUUUUGCCCAAUGUGGGGCUCGAACCCACGACCCUGAGAUUAAGAAACUCGUGUAAUAAUAAUAAUAAUAAUUUAUUAUUUAUAUCCCGCCCAUCUGGCUGAGUUUCCCCAGCUACUCUGGGCGGCUUCCAAUCGAGUGUUAAAAACAAUGCAGCAUUAAAUACUAAAAACUUCCCUGAACAGGGCUGCCUUCAGAUGCCUUUUAAAGAUAAGAUAGCUGCUUAUUUCCUUCACAUUUGAAGGGAGGGCGUUCCACAGGGAGGGUGCCACUACCGAGAAGGCCCUCUGUCUGGUUCCCUGUAAUCUCAUUUCUCGCAGUGAGGGAACUGCCAGAAGGCCCUCAGCGCUGGAUCUCAGUGUCCGGGCUGAACAAUGGGGGUGGAGACGCGCCUUCAGGUAUACUGGACCGAGGCCGUUUAGGGCUUUAAAGGUCAGCACCAACACUUUGAAUGGUGCUCGGAAACGUACUGGGAGCCAAUGCAGAUCUCUCAGGACCGGUGUUAUGUGGUCCCGGCGGCCACUCCUAGUCACCAGUCUAGCUGCCACAUUCUGGAUUAAUUGCAGUUUCUGGGUCACCUUCAAAGGUAGCCCCACGUAGAGCGCAUUGCAGUAGUCCAAGCGGGAGAUAACUAGAGCAUGCACCACUCUGGCGAGACAGUCCGCAGGCAGGUAGGGUCUCAGCCUGCAUACCAGAUGGAGCUGGUAAACAGCUGCCCUGGACACAGAAUUGACCUACACCUCCAUGGACAGUUGUGAGUCCAAAAUGACCCCCAGGCUGCGCACCUGGUCCUUCAGGGGCACAGUUACCCCAUGCAGGACCAGGGAGUCCUCAAUACCAGCCCACCCCCUGUCCCCCAAAACUGUCUUGUACUUCUCUAACAAUUUGAGCCAUGUUAGUAUUGAGCUCUUCCUGUCGAAUCUGCAUCGGUUUAGGGCAGAGUGGGUUUUGCUUCCGCCCAGGCAGAGAGUUCCAAAAACAGGCUAAAGUAUGGUUGUGUAGGGCUGCCAUACACCCAGAAUCUUCCGGAGAUAUCUGGAAUUCAUCCACCAGAAACAGCGUCCGGGUGGAAUUUCCACAAACCUGUUAAAAUAUCUGGGGAAACCAGGGUGUAUGGCAACCCAAGUUGGAAGUGUUGCUCUUUUUUUUUUGGCGAAUUUGCUAAAAAAUAGCUCAAAAACCAACUUGGGUGGGAAGGGGGAGGGAGAGAGAGAAAGCUCAACAACUUUAGUGUCCAGAUUUUCACUUUUUGAAAUAUGGCAACCCUAUGGCUGUGUGUAGGGACGUGGGUGGCGCUGUGGGUUAAACCACAGAGCCUAGGACUUGCCAAACAGAAGGUUGGCAGUUUGAAUCCCCGUGACGUGGUGAGCUCCCGUUGCUCGGUCCGUGCUCCUGCCAACCUAGCAGUUCGAAAGCAUGUCAAAGUGCAAGUAGAUAAACAGGUACCGCUCAGGCGGGAAGGUAAACGGUGUUUCCGUGCGCUGCUCUGGUUCACCAGAAGCGGCUUAGUCAUGCUGGCCACAUGGCCCAGAAGCUGUACGCCGGUUCCCUCGGCUAAUAAAGCGAGAUGAGCGCCGCAACCCCAGAGUCUGCCACGACUGGACCUAAUGGUCAGGGGUCCCUUUACCUUUUAUGGGCAACUUGCGACCCAGUGAAGGUGCCUGGGUGCCAGGAUGGUGCUCGAUAUCUCCGCCAACCGGGGAUCCUUGGACCUUGACUGUUUUCACCCGCCAGCAACACAUCCUGUAGAAUUCUAUCAGCGAUAUUUUAUCUGAGCCAUCAGAACGAAUAUUGGGAACCAAAAAGUCGUAUUGAAAAAUACAACUCUUGAGCCACCAGGCCCCAAAAUGGCAGCCAGGCAUUCAGUUUUGGCGACUAUAACCCUGGUUUAAGGAGCCGUUUGGCGCCUAGCUUGCAUAUCUCAGUUUCUAACACUGCUUAACCCUACCAGCCCCAAUGGCUAUUGGCUGCCAUCACUUUGCAGUCUUAUUUUAUUUUAUUUUAUUUAUUACAAUAGUAUACCAGCACCCUUAACAAACGGCCAUUCCCAGCAUUCUUUGGGGGGAAUUCAUGACUGUUAAAAGUGAUGUAAGAGUGAUUUAAAUGAGUGUUAUGAUGUUAUCUCAGGAUACCCAACAGAGACCUAGACUUUCCUUUGAGCUGUUUUAACCCCAAGCAACUGCAUCAACAGAACAUGAACAAGUUGUUCCCGUCUCUGUCUCUACUGAGAAAUUGGGAGUUGGGAGGAAUCAGGGACCCCUCUCGGCGGUCCAUGGGCAGAGCUGAUAUUCUGCAGUUUCAUAUGCGUGUGGUUCAAUUUCCCCGAAAUCACCUUUUUCAGAAAAAGUCAGAAACCACAGUUUCAAUCUCUCAAGAGGAUCAGAAACCAAGUUCAGGAAACAGCUUUGAUGGCAAGAAUCACUGGAAGUAGAGAUAUUUAUUAAGCAG